GGCUGUGUGGUCUAGUGGUAUGUUUCUCGCUUAGGGUGCGAGAGGUCCCGAGUUCAAUUCUCGGUACUGCCC
rnacentral:tRNA from 1 species